rnacentral:rRNA from 1 species
GCUAACUCUGUGCCAGCAGCCGCGGUAAUACAGAGGGUGCAAGCGUUAAUCGGAAUUACUGGGCGUAAAGCGAGCGUAGGUGGCUUGAUAAGUCAGAUGUGAAAUCCCCGGGCUUAACCUGGGAACUGCAUCUGAUACUGUUAAGCUAGAGUAGGUGAGAGGGAAGUAGAAUUCCAGGUGUAGCGGUGAAAUGCGUAGAGAUCUGGAGGAAUACCGAUGGCGAAGGCAGCUUCCUGGCAUCAUACUGACACUGAGGCUCGAAAGCGUGGGUAGCAAACAGGAUUAGAUACCCUUGUAGUC